rnacentral:rRNA from 1 species
AGUCGAGCGAUCUCGCAAGAGAUAGCGGCAAACGGGUGAGGAAUACAUAGGUAAUCUUCCCUUAAAUCAGGAAUAGCCCUAUGAAAGUAGGGGUAAUGUCUGAUAGCAUCAUGAGGGCGCAUGUUCUUAUGAUUAAAGACAGGGACCUUCGGGCCUGUCGUUUAGGGAUGAGCCGAUGUCUUAUCAGCUAGUUGGUGGGGUAACGGCUCACCAAGGCUAAGACAAGUAGCUGGUCUGAGAGGAUGGUCAGCCACACUGGGACUGAGACACUGCCCAGACUCCUACGGGAGGCUGCAGUCGAGGAUAUUUAGCAAUGGGCGAAAGCCUGACUAUGCGACGCCGCGUGAGGGAUGAAGGUUUUCGGAUCGUAAACCUCUUUUAGCAGGAAAGAAACCUUUCAAGUUAAUAGCUUGAAAGCUGACGGUACCUGCAGAAUAAGCCACGGCUAACUCCGUGCCAGCAGCCGCGGUAAUACGGAGGUGGCAAGCGUUACUCGGAAUUAUUGGGUGUAAAGGGCAAGUAGGUGGCUUGGUAAGUGAGAGGUGAAAUACUCCGGCUCAAUCGGAGAACUGCCUUUCAUACUGCCUUGCUUGAGGAUGACAGGGGGAAAGGGAAUUCCAGGUGUAAGGGUGAAAUCUGUAGAUAUCUGGAAGAACACCAGCGGCGAAGGCGCUUUCCUGGGUCACUCCUGACACUAAAU